UGCUCACUAUAAUAGCCAUACAAUAAAACUGGAACAACACAGAGAAUAUGAGUAGGGAUCCUACACAUGGAUUACAUUCAAAUUUGUGAAAUAUUUAGUAUUUUU
ensembl:snRNA U6 U6 spliceosomal RNA